GAAAAACAAUGGAUUUGAGUUGGAAGUGCUAAACACUCAUCCUCAAUUUAUUAAUUGCAUAAUCAAGCCUACUUGGGGUUCUCCUUGGAUUGUUAGCUUUGUAUAUGGGAGUCCCAACACUGGCCUUAGACGCUUGUUAUGGGAGGACCUUAGACUUUCUUGUUUGAAUAUGGAUGAGGAGUGGGUGGUAUUGGGAGAUUUUAAUGAUGUGGUCUCUAUGGAGGAACAAUAUGGAUAUCGUACUUAUAAUACCAGUGGU
rnacentral:lncRNA from 1 species